AGGGAUGUAGCUCAGUGGCAGAGCACUUGCCUGGUAUGAGCAAGGCCCUGGCUUUGAUCCCCAGCACUG
rnacentral:tRNA from 1 species